AUUGAACGCUGGCGGCAGGCCUAACACAUGCAAGUCGAGCGAGCGGCGGACGGGUGAGUAAUGUAUGGGGUCUGCCCGACAGAGGGGGAUAACUACUGGAAACGGUGGCUAAUACCGCAUACUAGCGGAUAACACAUAUGGGAUUAGCUAGUAGGUGGGGUAUAGGCUCACCUAGGCCACGAUCACUAGCUGGUCUGAGAGGAUGAACAGCCACACUGGGACUGAUACACGGCCCAGACUCCUACGGAGGCAGCAGUGAAGAAUAUUGCACAAUGGGCGCAAGCCUGAUGCAGCCAUUCCGCGUGAAUGAAGAAGGCCUUAGGGUUGUAAAGUACUUUCAGCGGGGAGGCGUUACCCGCAGAAGAAGCACCGGCUAACUCCGUGCCAGCAGCCGCGGUAAUUC
rnacentral:rRNA from 1 species